UGGGCCUGUAGCUUAGUGGAUUAGAGCAUAUGGUUCCGAACUAUAAGGACAAGGGUUCGAAUCCCUUCUCGCCCAU
rnacentral:tRNA from 1 species